AUCUCUCGCCAGUCGUGUCGGUCUAUUCGUCCUACUGGGUUACGAGAGUAAAAGGAACAGAGUGCUCUUGUGUACUGCGCACACCCUUGGGCACUAUA